rnacentral:tRNA from 1 species
GAUGGUUUGGCCGAGUGGUCUAAGGCGCCAGAUUUAGGCUCUGGUUCGAAAGGGCGGGGGUUCAAAUCCCACAGCCGUCA